AGUGAACGCUGGCGGUAGGCCUAACACAUGCAAGUCGAACGGCAGCACAGUAAGAUCUUGCUCUUCCGGGUGGCGAGUGGCGGACGGGUGAGGAAUACAUCGGAAUCUACUUUUUCGUGGGGGAUAACGUAGGGAAACUUACUCUCAUACCGCAUACGACCUACGGGUGAAAGCAGGGGAUCUUCGGACCUUUCGCGAAUGAAUUAGCCGAUGUCGGAUUAGCUAGUUGGCGGGGUACAGGCCCACCCAGGCGACGAUCCGUAGCUGGUCUGAGAGGAGGAUCAGCCACACUGGAACGGAGACACGGUCCGGACUACUACGGGGGGCAGGAGUGGGAAAUAUUGGAGAAGGGGGGAAAGCCUGAUCCAGCCAGACCGCGUGGGUGAAGAAGGCCUUGGGGUUGUAAAGCCCUUUUGUGGGGAAAGAAAAGCAGCAGAUUAAUACCCCGCUGUUGUGGCGGUACCAAAAGAAUAAGCACGGUCAAACUGCG
rnacentral:rRNA from 1 species